UGUAUUAUUUACAAAAAGGGGUAUUCGUAUCCCCAGCACUUAGCACAGUGCCUGGCACUGGUAGGUACUUAAUAAAUGUUUAUUGACUAUCUUCUUCCUUAUGCUUUUCCCACCUGAUCUCCAGCCUCAGGUGAGAAGAGGAAUGACCUCCCUCUGACUACAUCUUCCAUCUGAUGCUACACAGGCCUGAUAGCCAGUCUCAGAUUCCUAGGGGCUAUCUGGAGGAGACUUCCAUCUGUACCAGCACACAGUAACUUCUACCUCCUGCUCCACCAGUAGGAGAAGAAUCGGUGUGUGACUGUAUUGGAAGUUUCUUCAUCUGUGCUGUGUCCCUGAUGGUAUUGCUUCUAGUCAUCUCCUGCAACAUGUGACUCACCGUGAACUGCAGAUAUUUGGUAUUACCCCAGAUCUUUGAGAUCUGAGACUUGGUCCUUCUGAAGAGAGUGUACUACAACCUGGUAGCAAAGAUUCUGCUGCAUUGUCAUCAGUAUUUUUACCUCUUCUGUCCAAAUUUAGCCAU